AAUUUGGACACAGCUAUUGGCGUUACCAAGGAGUAUAGAAGCGCUAUAUACCUAGGGUUACUGCGCAUGUACAGGUUCAUUCACUUCCGGAUGUAUGGUGGAUUCGAGAUUCGUUGGCAAUGCAUACUACAGUCCUCAGAAAAGGAGAAAAGAUAACAAUAGAACAGUGCAUCUCAUGCUGUGAUAAAUAUCACUGCCCAUUUUGUGAGACCUGGGUCUACAAACCAGUGGACUUCUACAGUGUCACGAAGCAUGUGCAGGAUCAUCUGAAAACAGCUGUUCGUGAAGAAGAUUUUAUUAUCAUAAGAUGCAGCUUAAAAUGCAGAGAUGUUUCUCAUUUUCAUUGCUGCUAUUGUUCUGCUACAAUCAUACGAAAAGCACAAUUUAACAUCCAUCUUACAAAAUGCAAGCAAAAGAAACAAAAGUUUCCAUCUCCACAAAGAACUCCAUCACCCAUGGUUCUGAUUGGUAAUACACCUCUGCCUGCAGCUUCUGCUCAGACAGCACCCCUUCUUUAACCUCAGCCUUCUCCAAGUGAACCACGCACGUCUGUGUCUCCCACGCCCAGUACUCCACUGUAUCAACCCAAAGUGUCGUGAACUGGAGUGCAUUUUCUGUAGGAUACAGACAGGAGUUCCGGGUGCCGUAUUCACUGACCCAGUGCCUAUGGUGCCAUGAAACAUUCAAAGACUGCCCACCUGGCUAUGUUGGGAAUGGCAGGAGGGGAGUCCUGCGUGGAUUUUAUUCCUACAAAGACUUUGAGGGCUACUACUCAGUUGAUUGUUUUAUUAAAGAUGGAGGUGAAUUUUAGAAUGUGUAGGUGCAGAUGCAGUUUCUUUUUUCUUUCUCAUGUGUCAUGUUUAUAAUUGUAAUCUCUCUUUCUCUCUUUCUCUCUCUCUCUCUCUCUCUCUCUCUCUCUCAAUCAUAUAUGUACACACACACAAUUAUAUUUUGUUUUGUACUUUGCAAUAAAAAAAAGAUUACUGUUAUCAGUUUGGUUUUUGGAGGCAAGAUGCAUAAAAUGGGAAGCAGACACUGAAAAUAUAAAGUAUGUUGUCAAUUUAACUGAAAAAUACUUUAUUGGCAUAAAUAUUUCACAUGCAGAAUUGUCAAAGUAACAGAAGCAUGUAUAAAAUUAUACUAAAUAAAUAAACAAGA